rnacentral:lncRNA from 1 species
AUCAGUCACUCCCUCUUCCGAAAGCUGCCCUUCAGGUGAAGAAAACCUUGUGACCUCCUCCUUCUCUUUUGCGGGUGCAACUGUCCCCUCUCCCAAACUCCUUGGUACUGGCAGCUCUGUGAUGAGGUGAGAGGGCAGACACUUUGGGGUUGCUGUGGAGGGCGGGGCCUGGUCUCUUCUCAUUUCCCCUGUUCUCAUGGCUGCCUUGAGAGGGAGACCAAGUGGACCCCUGCUUCCUCUCCCUCUGCCCCUAAUACCGCAGGUUCCUCCUUGGACAGGCUUUUGCUGGUGGAGCUGAGCUGGGGAGGUGUUAGGAGUCUCUUCAUCUGCAUGAUAUGCAUAUCACCCUCUCCAUUUUCUUUUUCCAAAUGAACUCACACCAGGAAGUGGAACAAAUCAAGAUGGCUG